GGCUCAGGACGAACGCUGGCGGCACGCUUAACACAUGCAAGUCGAACGAACGGAGAUAGCUUGCUAUCAAAGUUAGUGGCGGACGGGUGAGUAACACGUGAGCAAUCUGCCUUUAAGUGGGGAAUAACGAUUGGAAACGGUCGGUAAUACCGCAUAAUAUAGCGAAACCGCAUGGUUUUUGCUAUCAAAGAUUUAUCGCUUAAAGAUGAGCUCGCGUCUGAUUAGCUAGUUGGUGAGGUAACGGCUCACCAAGGCGACGAUCAGUAGCCGGACUGAGAGGUUGAACGGCCACAUUGGGACUGAGACACGGCCCAGACUCCUACGGGAGGCAGCAGUGGGGAAUAUUGCACAAUGGGCGCAAGCCUGAAUGCAGCGAUGCCGCGUGAGGGAAGAAGGUUUUCGGAUUGUAAACCUCUGUUGACAGGGACGAUAAUGACGGUACCUGUUCAGAAAGCUCCGGCUAACUACGUGCCAGCCGCCGC
rnacentral:rRNA from 1 species